CAAUAGCGUAUAUUAAAGUUGUUGCGGUAAAAAAGCUCGUAGUUGGAUUUCUGUUGAGAGCGACCGGUCCAUACCAUGUAUGCGUAUCUGGCUUGCUCUCGGCAUCCUCUCGAUAGACGUUACUGCGCUUGAUUGCGUGGUGCGGGUCUCGGGACUUUUACUUUGAGGAAAUUAGAGUGUUCACGGCAGGCUUUCGCCAGAAUACAUUAGCAUGGAAUAAUACUAUAGGAUCUUGGUUCUAUUUUGUUGGUUUCUAGAAUUGAGAUAAUGAUUAAUAGGGACAAUUGGGGGCAUUCGUAUCAACACGUCAGAGGUGGAAUUCUUGGAUUGUGUUGCGACGAACUACUGCGAAAGCAUUUGCCAAGGAUGUUUUCAUUGA
rnacentral:rRNA from 1 species